rnacentral:lncRNA from 1 species
UACUAGUAGUUUUCAGUUACUACACAUACUCUUAUGUUGGUGCUUCGCGUUUAUAGCCUUUAGUAAAUGUUAGUUGUUUUGUGUCUCGUAUCGAUCUUUUGGGUUAAUCCAAUUUCAACGGACUUUUAAACGUUGUUUUUAUGUUAUACUAUUACAACACUGACUGUCUAAGUUUAGUGGUUGAACGCUCACACACAUGUUGAAUUCUGCCACAUUAUCAUGAGCAUGUAGUUGAGUGGUUAUUGUUUGUUCAUAUCUGUCGACUCAUAUUUGAAGUUUUUAGAAUGGGUUUGUUAUAUAUCGUUAGGCCGUUAGUUUAUUUCGACUUAAUUUUUUCACAUUUUUUGUCG